rnacentral:rRNA from 1 species
UACAGAGGUCUCAAGCGUUGUUCGGAUUCAUUGGGCGUAAAGGGUGCGUAGGUGGCGCGCUAAGUCAGGUGUGAAAUUUCGGAGCUUAACUCCGAAACUGCAUUUGAUACUGGCGAUCUCGAGUCCGGGAGAGGUGAGUGGAACUGCGAGUGUAGAGGUGAAAUUCGUAGAUAUUCGCAAGAACACCAGUGGCGAAGGCGGCUCACUGGCCCGGUACUGACGCUGAGGUGCGAAAGCGUGGGGAGCAAACAGG